UUUUCCCGGGAUAUGAAACGGAUCGUGAAUCAUUAUAAGUUUAAUUAACGUGAUACUUUACCCACACGGAGAACUCACUUUCGUUUGAAAUACUAUGGUGUCAUAGUAAAGAUGGACCGUUGGCCACCUGCGGAAAUUUAAAUAAACACAUGUGAAAAUUACUAUGGCCAUAGUAAUUUUUUCAUUUGCCAUAGCAUUUCAAACAAGAAAAAUGUCUCCGUGCAGUAUUUUUUUAAGCUUCAACAGCUGACGUUAUUUUUUUUGUACUUUUUACAUCCACUAUUUCUUCAAUAGUUAUGUAAUUGGAAGAAGUUAAGUAGUUCACUAUAUAUUUUUAUAAAUGAUAAAAACAUCUAGAUCAUACCAGUGAUUCAUUUUUUCUAACUAUAUUGCCAGAAAAAUUUUUGUUAAUUAAUUAAUUUAUUACCGAUUUAUAUGACCCUCUGUCGACUCUCCUUUAACUUUUUUCCAAUAUUUUAUUUCUGUUAGUAAACUACUGAUACAAUCCGUUCUCAUGAAUUUGAUUGUUUAAAAAGUCAUAGACAUAGAAAUAGAGAAAUCUUUUAUUUAAUAAAGUACUAAGGAAAAUAACUCACAAUAAACUGAUAAUGACCAUCAACAAAUAGCAUUCGUCGUCAUUCUUAACACAUUGAGGUUUUAAUAGGGCAUAGCAAUUUUUAUUGUACUAAAAUCGAUGUUUAAUAUUGAAAAUAUAAAAUAAAUAAUAUAUGGAAUAAAAAACCCAAAAUUUAAGUACUCACUGAUCAAAAUGUACGUGUGUCUUCAAAGUCUUGGUGUUCAUACUGAUUUAUCGUAGUGAACGAUUAUGAAUAGGCACUUAUACUGAUGUAAGUUUUAUGACUAAAUUGUAUAAUCUUUGCCAAUAAGUUGUAACAGCAAAGCAAUCAAAGUUACCGUAGCAACACCAUAUGGACACAGUGAAGUGACGGCAGCCAUUAAGGCGUCCGUCAACGUCAUUCAAGUAUUUCAUAGCAAAGAAAAUAAUUGAGGGAAAAUACUACAUCUAAUGCAAAGGUCGAUGGUCAUAUCAAUCUUCACGACAGAGCUUAGUGAUAGUCACUGUUAUAUGGAGUGCAUUUAUACUGCAAGCUAUUCCACAAGUAUCAGAGAACUAAUACACAGUAAAGAAUCACCAGGAUCACAUGUGUAUGUCGGCCCAGUGGAUAGCAUCGAGGACUUUGAAUCGAAAGGACACAGGUUCGAGCCCAGCAGUUAUCGGGAUUUUUUCAUCAAUAAAAAAUAUGUUUACUUUCUCUAAUUAAUGCUCUCAAUACAAUAGAUAACAUUCUCGAUCGAAUUAAAUUUCUCUUAUUUUUUUUUUGCAAUUUAAUAUUUUUUUAAAAAUAAUUACUAAUAAGGUAAUCCUGAUAAGGAUUUGAUGAGGAUAUCCUGGUAAGGACCUGAUAAGGCAAUCCUGAUAAGGACGUGAUGAGGAUAUCUUGGUAAGGUCCUGAUAAGGCAAUCCCGAUAAGGACCUCAUGGGUCUUAAGCGUUACAUCCAUAUCAGGAUCCUCGUCAGGAUACCCUGAUCGGGACCUUAUUUGAAAUAAGGUUAACCCAAUAAGGACCUCGUCAGGCCCUUAUGAAAAAUUCUAGUCGGGAUAUUAUAAUAAAUACAUAAUAAAAUAAAUAAAAGAAUAAUAGUAAUAAAGAAAAUAAAUAAGAAAAUUAGAACUGUUAAUUCGACAGGACACACAUAUUUAUGUUUAUGUCCUCUUUUUUCUGAGGACUUGAAAUUUUUAUUCAUUUUUAUCCGAUGAGUAUACUAACAAUAUUAUUGCUGUGACAGUCGUACAACGAAAUCUAUAGGGAUAUCUGAAGCAAUUAAAAAAAAAAAAAAACAGUGGGUUACUUUAAAAAAACUCAGUCUGAAAAUUGGUUUAUUGUUACAUCACAGCCAAUCUAUAUAUUUUAAUUCUUAUUUAUUAAUAACCAUAAUGUAUCUGAUUAAA